rnacentral:rRNA from 1 species
AACGAACGCUGGCGGCAUGCCUAACACAUGCAAGUCGAACGAGACCUUCGGGUCUAGUGGCGCACGGGUGCGUAACGCGUGGGAACCUGCCCUUAGGUUCGGAAUAACUCCCCGAAAGGGGUGCUAAUACCGGAUAAUGUCUUCGGACCAAAGAUUUAUCGCCUUUGGAUGGGCCCGCGUUGGAUUAGCUAGUUGGUAGGGUAAAAGCCUACCAAGGCGACGAUCCAUAGCUGGUCUGAGAGGAUGAUCAGCCACACUGGGACUGAGACACGGCCCAGACUCCUACGGGAGGCAGCAGUGGGGAAUAUUGGACAAUGGGCGAAAGCCUGAUCCAGCAAUGCCGCGGGAGUGAUGAAGGCCUUAGGGUUGUAAAGCUCUUUUACCCGGGAUGAUAAUGACAGUACCGGGAGAAUAAGCUCCGGCUAACUCCGC